rnacentral:rRNA from 1 species
GACGAACGCUGGCGGCGUGCUUAACACAUGCAAGUCGAACGGAAAGGCCCUGCUUUUGUGGGGUGCUCGAGUGGCGAACGGGUGAGUAACACGUGAGUAACCUGCCCUUGACUUUGGGAUAACUUCAGGAAACUGGGGCUAAUACCGGAUAGGAGCUCCUGCUGCAUGGUGGGGGUUGGAAAGUUUCGGCGGUUGGGGAUGGACUCGCGGCUUAUCAGCUUGUUGGUGGGGUAGUGGCUUACCAAGGCUUUGACGGGUAGCCGGCCCGAGAGGGUGACCGGCCACAUUGGGACUGAGCUGCGGCCCAGACUCCUACGGGAGGCAGCAGUGGGGAAUAUUGCACAAUGGGCGGAAGCCUGAUGCAGCAACGCCGCGUGCGGGAUGACGGCCUUCGGGUUGUAAACCGCUUUCGCCUGUGACGAAGCGUGAGUGACGGUAAUGGGUAAAGAAGCACCGGCUAACUACGUG